rnacentral:tRNA from 1 species
GGGGCCUUAGCUCAGCUGGGAGAGCGCCUGCUUUGCACGCAGGAGGUCAGCGAUUCGAUCCCGCUAGGCUCCACCA